CGGCGAACGGGUGAGUAACACGUGAGCAACCUACCCUCAACUUCGGGAUAAGCCUCGGAAACGGGGUCUAAUACCGGAUAUCACUUCCUGCUUCAUGGUGGGGGGUUGAAAGUUCUGGCGGUUGGGGAUGGGCUCGCGGCCUAUCAGCUUGUUGGUGGGGUAAUGGCCUACCAAGGCGUCGACGGGUAGCCGGCCUGAGAGGGCGACCGGCCACACUGGGACUGAGACACGGCCCAGACUCCUACGGGAGGCAGCAGUGGGGAAUAUUGCGCAAUGGACGAAAGUCUGACGCAGCAACGCCGCGUGAGGGAUGACGGCCUUCGGGUUGUAAACCUCUUUCAGCAGGGACGAAGCGAGAGUGACGGUACCUGCAGAAGAAGGACCGGCCAACUACGUGCCAGCAGCCGCGGUAAUACGUAGGGUCCGAGCGUUGUCCGGAAUUAUUGGGCGUAAAGGGCUCGUAGGCGGUUCGUCACGUCGGGAGUGAAAACUCGGAGCUUAACUCCGAGCCUGCUUCCGAUACGGGCAGACUAGAGGUAGGCAGGGGAGAGCGGAACUCCUGGUGUAGCGGUGGAAUGCGCAGAUAUCAGGAAGAACACCGGUGGCGAAGGCGGCUCUCUGGGCCUUACCUGACGCUGAGG
rnacentral:rRNA from 1 species